rnacentral:rRNA from 5 species
GUGAAAUUGAACUCGCUGUGAAGAUGCAGUGUACCCGCGGCAAGACGGAAAGACCCCGUGAACCUUUACUAUAGCUUGACACUGAACAUUGAGCCUUGAUGUGUAGGAUAGGUGGGAGGCUUUGAAGUGUGGACGCCAGUCUGCAUGGAGCCGACCUUGAAAUACCACCCUUUAAUGUUUGAUGUUCUAACGUGGACCCGUGAUCCGGGUUGCGGACAGUGUCUGGUGGGUAGUUUGACUGGGGCGGUCUCCUCCUAAAGAGUAACGGAGGAGCACGAAGGUUGGCUAAUCCUGGUCGGACAUCAGGAGGUUAGUGCAAUGGCAUAAGC